rnacentral:lncRNA from 1 species
GGGUACCGGACAAAAAGCUGCAAAGCCUGCAGGCAGGCCUGGCCUCCCUGCUGGGACCUCUUAAGACUCGCUGUCUAGCAGGACACUUCAGUCUUGAACGUCUAGAAAGAUAAAAGAAUGGAAUCGGAGCUUCUUAUGCAGUGGAAGAGGAAAAACAAACAAAAAUGUCCAUAAACAAACCUGGGUUUCCAAGAAAUUCAUUUUUCUGCAAAAGCCCUGAGCAGGGGACUGGUGGUCUCCAGAGGCAUUUAGUUGUGUGGUGAGAAGCUAUCAGGGGCCACUGAAGGUAAAAUCCAAGGAAGAGGCAUUGUGGAAGAAAAUCAGAAAGAUGUGGUCGGAGACAGGAGGAGAGACGCACCAGCCAAGCCAAGGGCGUUAAAUGAGGAAGAUCCACUCUGAAGUGGGGGACACCACCGCAUGGACUGGGUGCCUGAUGUUAGUAAAGGGGGAGCAAGGUGCUCCUUCUCGGGGAUUUAGUGACAGCUGUGAAAAAAGCAGCUAAGAGAGGUUCCUAUGAAAAAUACAUCUGCCUCAGUCUGUUUCCUGCCGCUGUCACAGAACACUACAAACUGGGUCAAUUAUAGAGACCAGAGGUUUGACUGAAGGACUGAAGGUCCAAGGGCUGUUGUCUAGGUGAAGGCCUUCCCGCCCUGUCAUAACGUGAUGAAGGCACUACAUGGACCACCAGAGUAACAAUUACACUUCAGCACAGGGUUACCUCCAUCUCCAUACCUCAGACAGAACCAAGGGUCUCAGACACACCAGGUGUACAUGUAUGCUGUGUAUGGAGAGGCUGGAGAUCAGCCUCAGCUGGCAGUCCUCAGAUACUGCCCAUCUUGUCUCUCACUGGCCUGGAGGUCACCAUCUUGGCUAUGCCGACUGUCUACCUGCCUUCACCUCCCCAGCACUGGGACUACAAGUGGGUGUCACCAGGCUCGGCUUUCUUCUCUUGGGUGCUGGGGUUCCAGCUCAAGCUCUUGGCCUUGCAAGGCUGGCACUCUGUAGACUGAACACUGAAGUCUAGCACUGCAAACGGGUGUUGGGUUUUUGGUCUGAUUCCCCCGUUCUUUGCGACUUGUUCUCUCCACUGGAAAGCUUGUGCGAGCUUUCCCUUUAAUCAUGGAAUUUUGGGCUCUUCCCUGGCC